CUUGCUUGGUCCACUCUUGUCUGGAGAUGUCUGGAGUCCACAGCACCAUUUCAGCACAAGCAUCUUCCAGGCAUGAGUCUUGAUCUUUGGAAAGUUCUGUUAAUUGAGAGAGGCAUAAAACCUAGGAAGCAGCACCGAUUUGAAUAAGCUCAAGUUGGAGGUCACAUGGAACAUUGUCAACAUCAAAUAUGAAAGAGCCAGAGGGCAGAAUCUUGGGGAGUAACAUCUAAAAACAUGACCGCCCAGUGUUUAAAGCUUGGAAGAUGGCAUUGCCAGGAUCUC